rnacentral:rRNA from 1 species
CAAGAGAACGUGAAAUCGUUGAAGUGGAACCGGAGAGAGUUGACGUAGUAUGGUGGAUAAGUAUUGCAAGAAUCGCUUCAAACCAUGAAUGUGAUCGAGUAAUAUGUACGUCACCAAAGACUGCGCUGACAGCAUCGACUACACGCUCUGAACUGUGUUGACAUGUUGCCUAYUCUAGUAUAUAGARUGGUGUCUUGUGUUACGUGGUGAAGUUUGUUGUUAUGUUGUUGAUGUUGAUAAGUAUGAUUAUACACCGAGUAUAAUUAUGUCAGUGUAAAAGUCAACCACCUCUCCGACCCGUCUUGAAACACGGACCGAGGAGUGUAACUUGUACGCGAGUCAUUGGGUGGAAAAACCUUAAGGCGAAACGAAAGUGAAGGCACGGUUAACCGGCUGACAUGGGAAACGUGCGGUAUUGUUAGCGAGACGUUACACCAUGGCCCUGUCUUGUCUGCAUGCAGAUGGGCAGCGGUAGAGCGUACAGGUUGCGACCCGAAAGAUGGUGAACUAUGCCUGAGCAGGACGAAGUCAGAGGAAACUCUGGUGGAAGUCCGUAUCGGUUCUGACGUGCAAAUCGAUCGAUAGACU